rnacentral:rRNA from 1 species
ACUCCCACCCCUGUGAUCAUACCUUUAAUUGUUGCUUCGGCGGGACUUCGCGCCCGUUCGGGGACCCAAACCUUCUGAAUUUUUUAAUAAGUAUCUUCUGAGUGGUUAAAAAAAAUGAAUCAAAACUUUCAACAACGGAUCUCUUGGUUCUGGCAUCGAUGAAGAACGCAGCGAAAUGCGAUAAGUAAUGUGAAUUGCAGAAUUCAGUGAAUCAUCGAAUCUUUGAACGCACAUUGCGCCCGUCAGUAUUCUGGCGGGCAUGCCUGUUCGAGCGUCAUUACGCCCCUCAAGUCCCCUGUGGACUUGGUGUUGGGGAUCGGCGAGGCUGGUUUUCCAGCACAGCCGUCCCUUAAAUUAAUUGGCGGUCUCGCCGUGGCCCUCCUCUGCGCAGUAGUAAAGCACUCGCAACAGGAGCCCGGCGCGGUCCACUGCCGUAAAACCCCCCAACUUUUUAUAGUUGACCUCGAAUCAGGUAGGACUACCCGCUGAACUUAAGCAUAUCAAUAAGGCGGAGGAA